GACGAACGCUGGCGGCGUGCUUAACACAUGCAAGUCGAACGGAAAGGCCCUGCUUUUGUGGGGUGCUCGAGUGGCGAACGGGUGAGUAACAUGUGAGUAACCUGCCCUUGACUUUGGGAUAACUUCAGGAAACUGGGGCUAAUACCGGAUAGGAGCUCCUGCUGCAUGGUGGGGGUUGGAAAGUUUCGGCGGUUGGGGAUGGACUCGCGGCUUAUCAGCUUGUUGGUGGGGUAGUGGCUUACCAAGGCUUUGACGGGUAGCCGGCCUGAGAGGGUGACCGGCCACAUUGGGACUGAGAUACGGCCCAGACUCCUACGGGAGGCAGCAGUGGGGAAUAUUGCACAAUGGGCGGAAGCCUGAUGCAGCAACGCCGCGUGCGGGAUGACGGCCUUCGGGUUGUAAACCGCUUUCGCCUGUGACGAAGCGUGAGUGACGGUAAUGGGUAAAGAAGCACCGGCUAACUACGUGCCAGCAGCCGCGGUGAUACGUAGGGUGCGAGCGUUGUCCGGAUUUAUUGGGCGUAAAGGGCUCGUAGGUGGUUGAUCGCGUCGGAAGUGUAAUCUUGGGGCUUAACCCUGAGCGUGCUUUCGAUACGGGUUGACUUGAGGAAGGUAGGGGAGAAUGGAAUUCCUGGUGGAGCGGUGGAAUGCGCAGAUAUCAGGAGGAACACCAGUGGCGAAGGCGGUUCUCUGGGCCUUUCCUGACGCUGAGGAGCGAAAGCGUGGGGAGCGAACAGGCUUAGAUACCCUGGUAGUCCACGCUGUAAACGGUGGGUACUAGGUGUGGGGUCCGUUCCACGGGUUCCGUGCCGUAGCUAACGCUUUAAGUACCCCGCCUGGGGAGUACGGCCGCAAGGCUAAAACUCAAAGGAAUUGACGGGGCCCCGCACAAGCGGCGGAGCAUGCGGAUUAAUUCGAUGCAACGCGUAGAACCUUACCUGGGUUUGACAUGGAUCGGGAGUGCUCAGAGAUGGGUGUGCCUCUUUUGGGGUCGGUUCACAGGUGGUGCAUGGCUGUCGUCAGCUCGUGUCGUGAGAUGUUGGGUUAAGUCCCGCAACGAGCGCAACCCUUGUUCACUGUUGCCAGCACGUUAUGGUGGGGACUCAGUGGAGACCGCCGGGGUCAACUCGGAGGAAGGUGGGGAUGACGUCAAGUCAUCAUGCCCCUUAUGUCCAGGGCUUCACGCAUGCUACAAUGGCUGGUACAGAGAGUGGCGAGCCUGUGAGGGUGAGCGAAUCUCGGAAAGCCGGUCUCAGUUCGGAUUGGGGUCUGCAACUCGACCUCAUGAAGUCGGAGUCGCUAGUAAUCGCAGAUCAGCAACGCUGCGGUGAAUACGUUCCCGGG
rnacentral:rRNA from 1 species